ensembl:snRNA U6 U6 spliceosomal RNA
GUGAAGAUUAGCACAGGCCCUGUGCAAGGAUAAUAUGCAAAUUGAUGAAGUGUUCCAUAUUUUG